rnacentral:rRNA from 1 species
GAACGCGGAAGAGGCCAAACCUAAUGUAGUAAUAUGUUAGGGGUUCGGACAGUAUAAUGAAUUGUCGAGAUUUAGCCGAAUGUCAUGGGAAGGGCAAUCAAAGAAGGUGAAAAUCCUGUAGGCGAAAAGUUAAGACAUCAGACUGUAUCCAGAGUACCGCCGGACACGUGAAACCCGGUGGGAAUAUGGGGGGACCAUCCUCCAAGCCUAAAUACUACUCGGUGACCGAUAGAGAAGAAGUACUGUGAAGGAAAGGUGAAAAGCACCCCGGAAGGGGAGUGAAAGAGAACCUGAAACCUUGUGUUUACAAGCACCGAAAGUUCAUCAACGAACGAUCGGGUACCUUUUGUAGAAUGGUCCGGCGAGUGAAUGUAACUGGCAAGGUUAAGCACUUAAGGUGUGAAGCCGUAGCGAGAGCGAGUCUGAAAAGGGCGCAUGAAGUCAGUUGUAUUCGACCCGAAACCGGGUGACCUACCCAUGUCCAGGCUGAAGUGCAGGUAAAACUUCAUGGAGGGCCGAACCGACUCCCGUUGAAAUGGUAGCGGAUGAGGUGUGGGUAGCGGAGAAAUUCCAAUCGAACCCGGAGAUAGCUGGUUCUCUCCGAAAUAGCUUUAGGGCUAGCCUUGGAAUAGAUUACUGGAGGUAAAGCACUGAAUUGGCUAGGGGCCGAGAGGUUACUGAACCUUAUCAAACUAAGAAUGCCAGAUAAUCGUUUUCCAGGAGUCAGACAGUGGGAGAUAAGUUUCAUUGUCAAAAGGGAAACAGCCCAGACCUACAGCUAAGGUCCCAAAGUAUAGUUAAGUGGAAAAGGAUGUGGAAUUGCAUAGACAACCAGGAUGUUGGCUUAGAAGCAGCCACUCAUUAAAAGAGUGCGUAAUAGCUCACUGGUCGAGUGAUUCUGCGCCGAAAAUUUAACGGGGCUAAACUAUACACCGAAGCUUAGGAUACCGCAAGGUAUGGUAGGAGAGCGUUCUGUACGGAGUGAAGUCGUAGCGAAAGCGGCGGUGGACUGUACAGAAGUGAGAAUGCCGGAAUAAGUAGCGAGAAUUAAGUGAGAAUCUUAAUGGCCGAAAGUCUAAGGUUUUUGGAGGAAGGUUCGUCCGCUCCAAGUAAGUCGGGAGCUAAGGUCAGGCCGAAAGGCGUAGCCGAUGCACAAACGGUUGAUAUUCCGUUACCGUCUACAAUUUAAACAAGGGGACACAUACAAAGCGUUUAACCCGGGCGAUGGUUGACCCGGGCGCAAGGGACUGAAAUUAAAGUAGGGAAGUAAAUGUGGCGUAUGGCGAGAAAAGCUUUGUGAAUAGAAGUAGACGCCCGUACCGCAAACCGACACAGGUGGACAGGAAGAGAAUUCUAAGGCCAGCGGGAGAAGGGUAGUUAAGGAACUCGGCAAAUUGACUCCGUAACUUCGGAAUAAGGAGUGCUCGAAAGAGCCGCAGAGAAUAGGCCCAGGCGACUGUUUAGCAAAAACACAGGUCUCUGCCAAAUCGAAAGAUGAAGUAUAGGGGCUGACACCUGCCCGGUGCCGGAAGGUUAAGAGGAGGAGUGCAAGCUCCGAAUUGAAGCCCCGGUAAACGGCGGCCGUAACUAUAACGGUCCUAAGGUAGCGAAAUUCCUUGUCGGGU